UUUCAAGUUCACAAUAUCUUCUCCAUGAAUCUGACCUGUAAUCCUGGGCCGGCCAACGUGACCAUGUGCUUCCAGCCAGCGCAUCACAUAAAGCUGAACCCUCCACAACAACCUCACAUCAACUUCACCACCAUUUCCUGGCACCCCCAAGUUAAAGAGACAGAACAAAAUCAAACAGUUCAAGUGCCAGUUGCAGUGGAAACAAGAGAAGCAGUCAUGGAGUGAUCCGUCUGUGCAGAAAAACACAAAUACUUAUUCAUGGAAGUGGGAACAAUCGGAGUGCGCUGAAAAGCUUGACGAUGAUUGGCUGAUUCGAGGCAAGAGGUACGAGGCACGCGUUCGAGUGAAGUCCGAAGAGAAAAAUCACAGGUCUACCUGGAGUGACUGGAGCCCCACUGCAUCAUGGGUAUCCACCGUUGGAAGAACGGAACAACCCCAACCACCAUCAGAUCUUGCUUGGCGUGUUUUGGGCCUUUUUGCAGCAGCGUUUGCAGUGUUUAUGGUUAUCGUACUAUUUAAGACUGACAAAACCACCUGGGUUGUGAAGAAAAUCAAAGGUCCGCCUAUUCCCAACCCAGAGAAAUCCUUCCUGAAGGAUCUAAACUUCGAG